rnacentral:tRNA from 1 species
CAGGACAUAAUUAAAGUAGAAUGCUGGCUUUGGGGGUCAGUUGUGGGGGUUUAAAUCCCUCUGUCUUGA